AUAUUGCCAAUUAUGUGGCUGCCAUUGUCAAAGAAGAUGGCUGCAAUGGUGGGUUGUUGGUGGCAGCCAACAACCAUUGUCUAAUGUCAAAGUUUGGUAAGUUUGGCAGCCACCAUUGUUGACAAAAGAGCUGGAGGAGCUGCCAUGGAUGCCUAUAAAUAGAGGAAUACAUUAGAGAGCAAAAUGAGAGAGUGUGUAGAGCCAAAGAUGUGAGAAAUGUAGGAGAGAGUGGGCUGCCAAGGCAGCCAGCAGUAGCUGCCAUUGCAGCACUGAAAAGAGAGAAAUAGAGUGAGGUUGAGAGUUGCCAAAGAGGGGAUGAUUCCUCCUCCUCUAUUGUUGUAAAUCUUGUUCUCUCCCUGUAUAAUGCAAUGGCUUCUCCCGUGGAUGUAGGCAGUUUGCCGAACCACGUUAAAUAUUGUGUCAGUGUGCUUUACCUCCUAUGAGCAAAUAUCAGAACAUCACCGGUCGGAAUUCCCUACAAUUGGUAUCAGAGCAUAUGGUUUGAAGUGGUGUUUGAUUUUUGCUCAAAAAUGAGAGUUGUCAAAAUUGUGUUUUGACCAUACCACCGUGUAGAGGAGGAAGAGACGAAGCCACUGGUGAAAACGGCGUCAAAAUCAGACGUUGGACAUGGCCGCACUCUCCAUCACUCUCCGGCAAGGCGUCUGCCUACGCGCGCAAACGCGCCCCACGCGUGCCACGCGUCUUCUUCGCCCGGAUGGGCUGACCCGACCCGAAUACCAGUUGACCCGACCCACAUGGCUGACCCGGAUAAUAAUGACGUCAGCAUGACAUAAUUGUGAUGUCAGCAUGCACAGUAGGCAUGCCAGAGAUGACAUCAGCCUGAUGUAAGUGUGAUGUCAGCAUGCACAGUAGGCAUGCCAUGUCAGCAGCCACAUCAUCGACCAGUCAGCAGACACGUCAGCAAAGUGGGACCCACCUUGAGCCGAGUUGAGCCGAGCCGUUGUGGAGCUGAGCCGAGCCGCGAGCCGAGGGAUAAGAUUCUGUGCAGCAGAGUCUAUGUGCAACCGGAUCUGAUAUUGAAUCUGGGCCGUUCAUCAGGCCAGAAUUGUUUUGAUCAAAUCGUAGCCGUCUGAAAUGCGAUUUGGACGAUUUCAGACUUGUUUCCAGCUAAUUGGAUCGUUCCGAAUGCAAUAGUACGGUCCGAUCGUUGAGAUUUGAGACCGAAAGUGGUGGUGGUGAAUUAACAAAAGAGAUUGCCCGAUCAGGAGGCAUCUAAAGGUCAUCAUGGUGGUCGAUGGAGAUGAAGAAGAACAUGUCACACAUGUUUACCCAAUUACAUGUGCUGAACUGCUAAGUGGAGAGAAUUUUAAUUGCCUUGAGGGAAGGCAAAAUUGGGACACUCUAGACACCCAAUCAAGUGGACAAUUUGAGGUGGAGAGUGGAAAUUUGAUGAAGACCAAUCUUGACGAAUCUAAGAACUGGUAGUCUCGUCAAAUGUUGAGAAAUCAGGUAUAAAACCGGGAUACCCCAGAUCACUUGUAAAGGAAAGCCGCAACAAAGCUAGCAAAUGGUUGUAUAUACGAAAAGGCAGUACGGUGGAUAGAUACGUUCUAAGAAGUUCUGUCUAGGAGAUUGGGUUUUAAGCGGGACCAGUGUGACCCCUCCAAAUCUUUCCUGGGAACUUGCUUAGUUAAAGGAUCAUCCACACAGUACUAUUUUUGUAUAUGUAACAGUUUGUAAUGAAACUGUUGAAGACUAGCAAGAUGACGGCACAAAGGAACAGUUGGGUUCUAUAUGUUCAAGGAUCUGAUGGAGUGGUGAUUUCUCCAAAGAAGUUAGAUUCGGUGACUGUGAUUUCUCGAAGGGAUAAUUAAUGAAGACCCUGAUAAUGGAAGAGAAAUACAACAAGGGAUAAAGAUUGGCACCCUAUUUUGACUUGAAUAAAUGUUGUGACAGGAUGAGCUGCUGUCAAACAUAAAAGCAAAGAAUAUGGAGAAAUCUGGAGAACCGAAAUUGCACGAGAGCACACGGAGAUUGUGCAGGAGUACCCGAAGGAUCCAACGAGGUACUGUAAUGAGACAACAGAUGCAAGGAGAAGAAGAGUUCCCAGAUGAAGCUCAGAGCAGAGACUGUGUGAAAAAUUGUACAACAGGAAGUCUCUUGUGCUCUUGAUAAAGGCAACAAACGAGGACCUUUCCAAUGCAUGCAAGGAUGGAAAGAUGAGCUGUUGCAGAAGCACCUAAUUAAGGGGGUGCGACCGCCGAUGAAAGGCGAAGACACCAAAGAGAGUUGGUGUGGGUGGAGCUAUCAAACAGAAAGGCAUAGAAGCUCCAAACAUAGAAAAUGAGAUGAAAGAUUGCGAAGAGUGCACCACAACUCUCUCUUUCUAUGUGAUCAGUGGCAGUGAUCUCUCCCAAGUCCACAUGGUGGUAGAGAAUCUUGGAGCCACUGGAGACAUCCCCGAUGAAGGAGGAUGUGACCGCUUCAUGAUGAACGGAGACACCUCAGGCAGAAGGUGUGUGGGCCAUGAAACGAGCCCAAAUACAGACCGCCACAUGACGAUGAGCGGAGACACCUCAAAUAGAAGGUGUGUGGGCCAUAAAACGAGCCCAAGUACAAACCGCCACAUGACGAUGAGCGGAGACACCUCAAAUAGAAGGUGUGUGGGCCAUAAAACGAGCCCAAGUACAAACCGCCACAUGACGAUGAGCGGAGACACCUCAGGCAGAAGGUGUGUGGGCCAUGAAACUAGCCCAAGUAGAAACCGCCGCAUGACGACGAGCAGAGACACCUCAGGCAAAAAGGUGUGUGGGCCAUGAAAGGAGCCCAAGUACAGACCGCCUCAUGACGACAUGCGGAGAGACCUCGGAUAUAAGGUGUGAGGACCAUGAUAUGAGUCCAAGUUCAAACCGUCUCAUGACGACAGGCGAAGACACCUCAGACAGAAGGUGUGAGGACCAUGAUAUGAGUCCAAGUUCAGACCGUCUCAUGAAGACAGGCGAAGACACCUCAGGAUGGAAGGUGUGAGGACCAUGAUAUGAGUCCAAGUUCAGACCGUCUCAUGACGACAGACAGAGACACCUCAGGAGAAGGUGUGAGGGCCAUGAUAGGAGCCCAAUUUCAGAACGCCCUAAAGACCGAUGUGAUGGCUGGAUACAAGUGGACAGGUGUAUGGAUAGCCAAUGAAGUGGUUAUGAUGAGUAUGGAGAAAAUACAGGAUUGACUUUCAUGGAUAUUGCCCCCAUGCUAAAGAUUAAUGAGCUAGAAGACAUUUGCCUUGGACAAUAAGUGUGUGACUUGUGGAGCAUUAAGACGUGACUGCUAUGAAGGAGCAGAGGGCAUGCGCAGGUUCCGGGAACAAGUUGACUCUUGUCAAGGUGGUGAGCUCAGUAAAUGGCAUUGUAAUACUCAGAGUAUGAAGAUAGAGAUGGAUCAACCUUUAAUGGGCUGCCCCCAUGGUUUAAGGUAGAGAGCUACCUGGACUCUUGAGACUAAGAGAGAGAGACUCACGGAGAAGUAAGGCGUGGUUCCUAGGGAGGAACAGAGGGCAGACGCAACUCCGGGAUGAGUAGACUCUUGGAAAAGUGGUGAGCCCGAGAUCACAUUAAAAUACUCAAUGACUGUCGCACUUGGAAAUAUCCGUUUGAGGGGGUGUUGUAAGCCUUGAUGUAAGGCUUGAUAAAUCAUUCCGGGCCAAGCAUGGUUGAUAUGCUUGAAGGGGAAUGCAGUGUCCUAGAGACAAGCGUUAACACUCUUCAGAUGUGAUGUGGUAGAUCAUCUGGUUGAAGUGAUCCUUUGGAGUGAGCAAAGGGGUGCUUGGGUGACUCUGGCGAUUGAAAGGUUUGGCAAGUACCUGUAAACUUGGCCAAAGACGCUCUCGGAAUGGUAAGCUUCGAAGAGCUGCAGGAUGCAAGCGUGUGCUAAAGAAGCAAGAGGACAAUUGCCCACAUAAAUGGCAAAGGGGGUGAUUGUUGGAAUAUUGCCAAUUAUGUGGCUGCCAUUGUCAAAGAAGAUGGCUGCAAUGGUGGGUUGUUGGUGGCAGCCAACAACCAUUGUCUAAUGUCAAAGUUUGGUAAGUUUGGCAGCCACCAUUGUUGACAAAAGAGCUGGAGGAGCUGUCAUGGAUGCCUAUAAAUAGAGGAAUACAUUAGAGAGCAAAAUGAGAGAGUGUGUAGAGCCAAAGAUGUGAGAAAUGUAGGAGAGAGUGGGCUGCCAAGGCAGCCAGCAGUAGCUGCCAUUGCAGCACUGAAAAGAGAGAAAUAGAGUGAGGUUGAGAGUUGCCAAAGAGGGGAUGAUUCCUCCUCCUCUAUUGUUGUAAAUCUUGUUCUCUCCCUGUAUAAUGCAAUGGCUUCUCCCGUGGAUGUAGGCAGUUUGCCGAACCACGUUAAAUAUUGUGUCAGUGUGCUUUACCUCCUAUGAGCAAAUAUCAGAACAUCACCGGUCGGAAUUCCCUACAUUUGAGAAGAGGAUAAUUCGCGCACCUCGGGUAUCUGCUCCUGAUCCCAACAGAAUGCACAUUCAAAUCGCACCACCACCACGUCCACCACCACCUGGAACCAUAUAUUAAGAUCGAUCUAAAUCGUCUUUCCUCCAUUUCCUUAGAGGGGUUCUUGUGAUUACUAGUUCUCAACUAGGUUUGAUCUCCUAAUGUUUCGUUUCUGUAUUAAUUCUCAGCUGUUUAAUUUCCUUGCUAUCCUGUAUUGAAUAUAUAAUUUAUCAUAAGC
rnacentral:lncRNA from 1 species